rnacentral:rRNA from 1 species
CCUACGGGUGGCUGCAGUGAGGAAUAUUGGUCAAUGGCCGAGAGUCUGAACCAGCCAAGUAGCGUGAAGGAUGACUGCUCUAUGGGUUGUAAACUUCUUUUAUAUGGGAAUAAAAUGAUCCUUGUUAGGGUUUUUGUUUGUACCUUAUGAAUAAGGAUCGGCUAACUCCGUGCCAGCAGCCGCGGUAAUACGGAGGAUACGUGCGUUAUCCGGAUUUAUUGGGUUUAAAGGGAGCGUAGGUGGAUUGUUAAGUCAGUUGUGAAAGUUUGCGGCUCAACCGUAAAAUUGCAGUUGAAACUGGCAGUCUUGAGUACUGUAGAGGUGGGCGGAAUUCGUGGUGUAGCGGUGAAAUGCUUAGAUAUCACGAAGAACUCCGAUGGCGAAGGCAGCUCACUGGACUGCAACUGACACUGAGGCUCGAAAGUGUGGGUAUCAAACAGGAUUAGAUACCCUGGUAGUC